rnacentral:lncRNA from 1 species
UCCACAAGGCUAUGAGUAUUUUUAGAGGCAGGUUAUUUUGAGAGUUGUAUGAGAUGCAAUUGGAUAGAUUUUUUUAUCUUUAAACUCAUUGAGAUUUGUUGAAAUAUACACAAGGCUUCAUUGAGGGAUUAGGGUCUCAACCCUAUUAAGAAAUCAGAUUAAGAUUUUUUGUUUACCAUAGGAGCGGGCUAUGGUAUCCGAUAAAAUAGUGGGAGAC